GACAGAGGGUGCAAACGUUGCUCGGAAUUACUGGGCGUAAAGCGCGUGUAGGUGGAUUGGUGUGUCAGAUGUGAAAGCCCUGGGCUCAACCCAGGAACUGCACCUGAAACUACCAGUCUUGAGUGGUGGAGAGGGAAGUGGAAUUCCUGGUGUAGAGGUGAAAUUCGUAGAUAUCAGGAGGAACACCAGUGGCGAAGGCGGCUUCCUGGGAAGUACCUGACGCUCAGAUGCGAAAGCCAGGGAGCGAACGGG
rnacentral:rRNA from 1 species